GGGGCUGUGGCUUUGGGGAAGGGCAUCUGCUUUGCAUGCAGAAGAUCGUAGGUUUGGGGAAGGGCAUCUGCUUUGCAUGCAGAAGAUCGUAGGUUCAAUUCCCAGCAUCUCCA
rnacentral:tRNA from 1 species